rnacentral:tRNA from 1 species
GCCAGAGUAGCUCAGUGGUAGAGCGCCAGUGAAGAUCUGGAGGUCGAGGGUUCGAUACCCUCCUCUGGCA